rnacentral:rRNA from 1 species
UACGUAGGGUGCAAGCGUUAAUCGGAAUUACUGGGCGUAAAGCGUGCGCAGGCGGUUUUGUAAGUCUGAUUUGAAAUCCCCGGGCUCAACCUGGGAAUUGCAUUGGAGACUGCAAGGCUAGAAUCUGGCAGAGGGGGGUAGAAUUCCACGUGUAGCAGUGAAAUGCGUAGAGAUGUGGAGGAACACCGAUGGCGAAGGCAGCCCCCUGGGUCAAGAUUGACGCUCAUGCACGAAAGCGUGGGGAGCAAACAGG